rnacentral:rRNA from 1 species
AUGAACGCUGGCGGCGUGCCUAAUACAUGCAAGUCGAACGAAACUUCUUUAUCACCGAGUGCUUGCACUCACCGAUAAAGAGUUGAGUGGCGAACGGGUGAGUAACACGUGGGCAACCUGCCCAAAAGAGGGGGAUAACACUUGGAAACAGGUGCUAAUACCGCAUAACCAUAGUUACCGCAUGGUAACUAUGUAAAAGGUGGCUAUACUACCGCUUUUGGAUGGGCCCGCGGCGCAUUAGCUAGUUGGUAGGGUAAAGGCUUACCAAGGCAAUGAUGCGUAGCCGAAUUGAGAGGUUGAUCGGCCACAUUGGGACUGAGACACGGCCCAAACUCCUACGGGAGGCAGCAGUAGGGAAUCUUCCACAAUGGGCGAAAGCCUGAUGGAGCAACGCCGCGUGGGUGAAGAAGGUCUUCGGAUCGUAAAACCCCGUUGUUAGAGAAGAAAGUGCGUGAGAGUAACUGUUCACGUUUCGACGGUAUCUAACCAGAAAGCCACGGCUAACUACGUG